AUCCUUUUGUGGUUCACGAACAUGACGAUUGGGUAAUCAUGCACAUCUGUGAGAUGUGCCAUCCUCGAAUUGUUACAGCAUCAGCAUAUUACCCACCUGAUA